CUUCACCGACCCCAGCCACAGCGGCUCGUCGCGGUCCUGCCCGUAGGUGGCCAGCACCGCCUGCGCCUC
rnacentral:antisense_RNA from 1 species